UAGUUAAGAAGUUAGAGCGUCGUGCUCAUAACGCGAAUGUCGUGGGUUCGAUCCCCGU
rnacentral:tRNA from 1 species